rnacentral:rRNA from 1 species
AAAUUGAAGAGUUUGAUCAUGGCUCAGAUUGAACGCUGGCGGCAGGCCUAACACAUGCAAGUCGAACGGUAACAGGAAGCAGCUUGCUGCUUUGCUGACGAGUGGCGGACGGGUGAGUAAUGUCUGGGAAACUGCCUGAUGGAGGGGGAUAACUACUGGAAACGGUAGCUAAUACCGCAUAACGUCGCAAGACCAAAGAGGGGGACCUUCGGGCCUCUUACCAUCGGAUGUGCCCAGAUGGGAUUAGCUUGUUGGUGGGGUAACGGCUCACCAAGGCGACGAUCCCUAGCUGGUCUGAGAGGAUGACCAGCCACACUGGAACUGAGACACGGUCCAGACUCCUACGGGAGGCAGCAGUGGGGAAUAUUGCACAAUGGGCGCAAGCCUGAUGCAGCCAUGCCGCGUGUAUGAAGAAGGCCUUCGGGUUGUAAAGUACUUUCAGCGGGGAGGAAGGGAGUAAAGUUAAUACCUUU